GCCGCAGCUUGACACGCGGCGCGGCCCCCAGUCUCCGCGGCCGCCUCCCCCAUGCAUGGCACAGGGCCUGGCCUCACUAUGGCAGCGGCACGGCACAGCACGCUCGACUUCAUGCUCGGCGCCAAAGCUGAUGGUGAAACCAUCCUAAAAGGUCUACAGUCCAUUUUCCAGGAACAGGGCAUGGCCGAGUCGGUGCAUACCUGGCAGGACCAUGGCUAUCUAGCAACCUACACAGACAAAAAUGGCAGCUUUGCCAAUUUGAGAAUUUAUCCACAUGGAUUGGUGUUGCUGGACCUUCAGAGCUACGACAGUGAUACCCAGAGCAAAGAAGAAAUUGAUAAUCUUUUGAACAAAAUAGAAGAGAGAAUGAAAGAAUUGAGUCAGGCCGGUAUUAGGUGGAUGAAGCAUUUGCCAGCCAUAAUUCGAGGAGGGGCCAUCGACAGGUACUGGCCUACAGCUGAUGGACGUCUGGUUGAGUAUGACAUAGAUGAAGUAGUGUAUGAUGAAGACUCAGCUUAUCAGAACAUUAAAAUUCUACACUCAAAGCAGGUUGGAAAUAUCCUCAUCCUCAGUGGGGAUGUUAAUUUGGCAGAGAGUGAUCUGGCAUAUACCCGGGCCAUCAUGGGCAGUGGCAAAGAAGAUUACACUGGCAAAGACGUACUGAUUCUGGGCGGUGGAGAUGGAGGAAUAUUAUGCGAAAUAGUCAAACUGAAACCAAAGAUGGUCACUAUGGUAGAGAUUGACCAAAUGGUGAUUGAUGCAUGUAAGAAAUACAUGCAGAAAACAUGUAGUGACGUCUUAGACAAUCUCAAAGGAGACUGCUAUCAGGUUCUAAUAGAAGACUGUAUUCCAGUACUGAAGAGGUACGCCAAAGAAGGGAGAGAGUUUGAUUAUGUGAUUAAUGAUUUGACCGCUGUUCCAAUCUCCACAUCUCCAGAAGAAGAUUCCACAUGGGAGUUUCUCAGACUGAUUCUUGACCUCUCAAUGAAAGUACUGAAACAGGAUGGGAAAUAUUUCACACAGGGGAACUGUGUCAAUUUGACAGAAGCCCUGUCUCUAUGAAGAACAGCUUGGGUGCCUGUAUUGUCCUGUGGAAUUCUCCAAGGAGAUCAUCUGUGUCCUUUCAUACUUGGAAUUGUGGGUAUUUUACACUGUCUGGAAGAAAGCUAAACCCUGAAGAUGACUAUCCCCACAAUUGUGCUGCAGAUAGCCUUCCUGACCUGCAUAUCCUGUACACGCAUCAAAUGAGUCAGGCAAUUGAUCGUGACUUUCUUAAUGUUUUCUCUUUUUAAUUAUUAUUUUUAAUUUUAAAAAAGCAAAUGGAAAAUGUAUAUUUUGAUGAACCUAGGGUGUUAUUUUUUUGAAAGUCAGCUGAAGGACAAUUAGACAGCACAGCAAAGACUGCGAAAUGCACUGACCCCUAGAAUGUGAUUUUUGUUACUUUUUAUUUCUGUGUGGGACUUUUCAUUUUGUUUUGUUUUGAUUUUGAUAGAACUUAAAUUUGGACCUUUGGAGGAAUGAACAUCGUUAUUGUGUUUUGGAGGGAAGUUCUUGAAGGUUUUUAAAAAAAAUGACUUAGAUUUAAAAAUUUGGUGCUUAUAAGAAAGUUAAAAAUGAAUAGCAA